rnacentral:lncRNA from 1 species
CUGUGAAGAGAACGAACAAGUGUGCCCUGACACCCUGCGUGGCUUUUUGCAGGAAAAAAGGAGAAUGGCAUUCUGGCAAGUCCAAUGACAAGGGAUCCAUCUUCAUCUCAGGAAUCAGAUAUACCUUGUUUACGGCCAGGAUUCAGCAUUUUGAAAUCUGCACUCUUUCCUCCCAGGUGGCUUUGUUCCACAUCUGCUAAGAGGAAAUACCUGCACUUGAUAUUUCCUUUUUUGGAAGUUGAUGACUUGCGGCCAUUUGGACAGUGAUCUGAGUCCAGUAUGGGAGUUCAAUCUCAAGUUCUUGAUCCACAUGAGGAGCGGGGAGCUUUGUGGAAAAGGGAAGAAGAGAUGCAACUGUGGAGCAGAUGACAUUGGAGAAUAGACAAGCCCAAGAGGACUCACACCAAGAGAAAUUUUGAUAGCCAAAGGGCAACGUGAAGGCAUUGAAGUAAC